AUUGAACGCUGGCGGCAGGCUUAACACAUGCAAGUCGAGCGGGGUGAUGGUGCUUGCACUAUCACUUAGCGGCGGACGGGUGAGUAAUGCUUAGGAAUCUGCCUAUUAGUGGGGGACAACAUCUCGAAAGGGCUGCUAAUACCGCAUACGUCCUACGGGAGAAAGCAGGGGAUCACUUGUGACCUUGCGCUAAUAGAUGAGCCUAAGUCGGAUUAGCUAGUUGGUGGGGUAAAGGCCUACCAAGGCGACGAUCUGUAGCGGGUCUGAGAGGAUGAUCCGCGACACUGGGACUGAGACAAGGCCCAGGCUCCAACGGGAGGCAGCAGUGGGGAAUAUUGGACAAUGGGGUGAACCCUGAUCCAGCCAUGCCGCGUGUGUGAAGAAGGCCUUAUGGUUGUAAAGCACUUUAAGCGAGGAGGAGGCUCUUUUGGUUAAUACCCAAGAUGAGUGGACGUUACUCGCAGAAUAAGCACCGGCUAACUCUGUGCCAGCCGCCGCGGUAA
rnacentral:rRNA from 1 species